rnacentral:rRNA from 2 species
GAUUCCCCUAGUAACUGCGAGUGAAGCGGGAAAAGCUCAAAUUUAAAAUCUGGUGGUCUUUGGCCAUCCGAGUUGUAAUCUAGAGAAGUGUUACCCGCGUCGGACCGUGUACAAGUCUCCUGGAAUGGAGCGUCAUAGAGGGUGAGAAUCCCGUCUUUGACACGGACCCCCGAUGCUUUGUGGUGCGCUCUCAACGAGUCGAGUUGUUUGGGAAUGCAGCUCAAAAUGGGUGGUAAAUUCCAUCUAAAGCUAAAUAUUGGCGAGAGACCGAUAGCGAACAAGUACCGUGAGGGAAAGAUGAAAAGAACUUUGGAAAGAGAGUUAAACAGUACGUUAAAUUGCUGAAAGGGAAACGCUUGAAGUCAGUCGCGUUGGCCGGAAAUCAGCCUUCCUUUUGGUUGGUGUACUUUCUGGUUGACGGGCCAGCAUCAGUUUUGACCGGUGGAAAAAGUUGUAGGGAAUGUGGCAUCUUCGGGUGUGUUAUAGCCCUGCUUCGUAUACAUCGGUUGGGACUGAGGAACUCAGCACGCCGCAAGGCCGGGGUUCGCCCACGUUCGUGCUUAGGAUGCUGGCAUAAUGGCUUUAAUCGACCCGUCUUGAAACACGGACCAAGGAGUCUAACAUGCCUGCGAGUGUUUGGGUGGAAAACCCGAGCGCGUAAUGAAAGUGAAAGUCGAGAUCCUUGUCAUGGGGAGCAUCGACGCCCGGACCAGACGUUUUCUGACGGUUCUGCGGUAGAGCAUGUAUGUUGGGACCCGAAAGAUGGUGAACUAUGCCUGAAUAGGGUGAAGCCAGAGGAAACUCUGGUGGAGGCUCGUAGC